rnacentral:lncRNA from 1 species
GUUUCUCUCUUCACCAGUGUUACCACUUGCAAUGAUCCGGGUGAUUACAAUGGAUAGCAUAUACAACUCAAGUUGUUCUCAUGCCAGGCUCCUGAUGUUUUCAAGUCCCUCUCUCCAUAAAAGGCUCCAUGACAUGGGGAGAACAGAUAUGAACAACGCAUCAUAGAAGAAGACACAGCAUAGUCAUCCACUGCACUGGGAGGGCACCCAGGCUGUGGAACCUCAGAAACUCUGUGACUGACUUUUACUCGGGUGCCCAAAGGAGGCCAGGGAAAGCUCUGGAAGAGAAGACUACUGGAAGCGAGCCUCUAAGAGGGCUUUGUCCUGAC